UGAUGAGUCACUGCCUGCAGAGUCAGUUUCUUAAAUCUUGUUUACAGUGUUUGAUGUAUGUGCAAACUCACACAAAGAUACAUUUCAUGGUCUAUGAGGCUGUAAGAAUUGGUUAAAAACACUUUAACAAACAUUUUCUGUCAGAGUCCUACACGUGGAGCGGCUGAGGUGGCUGUCGAGGCUACAUUAGCAGCACUGAUGAGAGGGGCAGAGAGACAGGCUCUUCAGGUGGAAUAGACCAUCACCAUCUCCAUGCUUGUCUAAAUGUGCUGAAGUGAGAUAAAAUGGCUGCCUAACCCAACAUGGCAUGGAAACGUUAAACUGAACAACAGAUAAGCAAGUCCUGUUUUUCUUUUUCUUUUUUACAGCGACUUAAAAACAUGGUGGCAGUAAUGCACAAAAUAAUACAAUAAAAAAAAUGCAAAGGCAGUGGAACAGAGGAGUGAUGUCACUCACCUGGAUUUACAGCUUGACAUGUCACAACUGGGGGCCACUCAAACAGAGUGGUGCUGUCACUGCUGUAAGCUGACGUGUCACAUCUCCAGGGAGCUGCUUCAUCACCUGUGACACAAAAAAAGUGGCUGAGGCAUCUCUGUGGGCUGCUUUAUUGUGUCACUGUGACACAUUAUAUGGUCACCUUUGCUCUGUGGGGACACCCAGUGAACACCAGCACUCCCACUCACUGUAACACAGAGAGAAGUCAAGGAACAUCCACCCAUGAUUUCAUCUUGAUUUAAUUUACACUUGAAAUAUGUGCAUUCAUUUGUAUAAAAUACAAAGCCAAUCACUAGUCUCCUUAUACUCAAUAUAUUACACUG